rnacentral:rRNA from 1 species
UACGUAGGGCGCAAGCGUUGUCCGGAAUUACUGGGCGUAAAGAGCUCGUAGGUGGUUUGUCGCGUUGUUCGUGAAAACUCACAGCUCAACUGUGGGCGUGCGGGCGAUACGGGCAGACUUGAGUACUGCAGGGGAGACUGGAGUUCCUGGUGUAGCGGUGGAAUGCGCAGAUAUCAGGAGGAACACCGGUGGCGAAGGCGGGUCUCUGGGCCGAUACUGACGCUGAGGAGCGAAAGCGUGGGGAGCGAACAGG